ensembl:snoRNA
UCGCAAGCCUUCCAGCGUGGCUGGGUCUGACCCAUGACCCAAAUCAUUCCUGUAGCGCUUGCAAGAGCAGUCUUGUGAUGGUUUGAGGCCUUCCUCUGCUUCAACUUCGGGGAAAGGUUAUAGAAAUCUCAAACAUGU